rnacentral:rRNA from 1 species
ACGUAGGGUGCAAGCGUUAAUCGGAAUUACUGGGCGUAAAGCGUACGCAGGCGGCUUUGCAAGACAGGUGUGAAAUCCCCGGGCCUAACCUGGGAACUGCAUUUGUGACUGCAUGGCUAGAGUCUGUCAGAGGGGGGUGGAAUUCCACGUGUAGCAGUGAAAUGCGUAGAGAUGUGGAAGAACACCGAUGGCGAAGGCAGCCCCCUGGGAUGAGACUGACGCUCAUGUACGAAAGCGUGGGGAGCAAACAGGAUUAGAUACCCUGGUAGUCCACGCCCUAAACGAUGUCUACUAGUUGUCGGAGGGUAACUCCUUCGGUAACGCAGCUAACGCGUGAAGUAGACCGCCUGGGGAGUACGGUCGCAAGAUUA